GGACGAAGCCAAAGGUCCCUCCCCGCAGGCCCGAGGGAAAGCUCUGCACCUCUGUGGCACUGGAACGAGGGCUGUGCUGCUCACAGGGUCGUGCUGUGGAGCACAGAUCACCGUGGGCAGGAACACGACCCUGUGGAACUUGGCUGUGGUUCCAGGAGCAAAGCGAGCCAAGAAAACUCCCUGAGGGGGAGAGUCAAAUGAGCAUCUCCUUGGAGCUGAAGGGCAGCUUCGGGAGAGCGGCUGGCUGAGGGAGCUUGGGAAGGGCUGUUGGAGACAGACAAGGCUUUGUACACCUUCAGCCUGGGGAAGACACUGUGCAUUUGGGCAAACAUUUGCCACUAGUUUUCACCAGAAUUUCACACCAACUUCUGAUGUCACCAAGGGAGGCACAACCCAUGUUUUCAUCUGUGGUGAAAGUGCAGAAAGUGUGGCCAGAGCAUGGAGAAGUUAUUGAGAGAGUCAGAGCUAACCCAGCAACUGCAUUUGAGCUCAGGAAGACGUGCCAGCUCCUGUUCUGCAAAUAACCUGCCUGGAGAUAAAUGAGCACCACAGAGGAUGAGGGAAGGUGAGAGCUGGGUUAAGCCCCUCACCACUGUGGUUGUGUGGUGGUUUAAAGAGUUGAAAAAUCAACACGGCUAAUUGAUAUUUCACAAACCCACAGUGCUAGAAUGAUAAAUGCAAAAAAAAAAAAAAAAAAAAAGAAAGGUUGCUUCUGCUUGUUUUUAAAGGGAAUUUCAGGGCAGUUCACUCACCACCAGGCAGCCAGUCAGGAGUCCAGCAGCUUGUGUGAUGUGGAAUGAACAAAAGGACACUUGUGAAUACUCUGCAAUAAAAAUGAAGUUCAUGGUCAUGGUAA